rnacentral:rRNA from 1 species
AUUGAACGCUGGCGGCAGGCCUAACACAUGCAAGUCGAACGAGUGGCGGACGGGUGAGUAAUGUCUGGGAAACUGCCUGCUGGAGGGGGAUAACUACUGGAAACGGUAGCUAAUACCGCAUACCAUCGGAUGUGCCCAGAUGGUCUUAGCUAGUAGGUGGGGUAAAGGCUCACCUAGGCGACGAUCCCUAGCUGGUCUGAGAGGAUGACCAGCCCCACUGGAACUGAGACACGGGCCAGACGCCGACGGGAGGCAGCAGUGGGGAAUAUUGGAGAAUGGGCGCAAGCCUGAUGCGGCCAUGCCGCGUGUAGGAAGAAGGCCUUCGGGUUGUAAAGUACUUUCAGCGGGGAGGCGUUACCCGCAGAAGAAGCGCCGGCUAACUACGUGCCAGCCGCCGCGGUAAUUC